GAUAAAAAAAAGUUGAAAAUGUAAUUGCAAAAUUUGACACACGUGCUACAAUGGCCGGGACAAAGGGUCGCGAUCCCGCGAGGGUGAGCUAACCCCAAAAACCCGUCCUCAGUUCGGAUUGCAGGCUGCAACUCGCCUGCAUGAAGCCGGAAUCGCUAGUAAUCACCAAUCAGCCAUACGGCGGUGAAUUCGUUCCCAGGCCUUGUACACACCGCCCGUCACACUAUGGGAGCUGGCCAUGCCCGAAGCCAUUACCUUAAUUGCAAGGAGGGGGGAUGCCGAAGGUAGGGCUAGUGACUGGAGUGAAGUCGUAACAAGGUAGCCGUAUUGGAAGGUGCGGCUG
rnacentral:rRNA from 1 species